CGGAGGGUGCGAGCGUUGUCCGGAAUCACUGGGCGUAAAGGGCGCGUAGGCGGCCCACGCAAGCGUGCGGUGAAAGCCCGGGGCUCAACCCCGGGUCGGCCGUGCGGACUGCGGGGCUGGAGCACUGUAGGGGCAGAUGGGAUUCCGGGUGUAGCGGUGGAAUGCGUAGAGAUCCGGAAGAACACCGGUGGCGAAGGCGGUCUGCUGGGCAGUGGCUGACGCUGAGGCGCGACAGCGUGGGGAGCAAACAGGAUUAGAUACCCUGGUAGUCCACGCCGUAAACGAUGGGCACUAGGUGCCUGGGGGAGCGACCCCCCGGGUGCCGUCGCUAACGCAUUAAGUGCCCCGCCUGGGGAGUACGGCCGCAAGGCUG
rnacentral:rRNA from 1 species